GCCAGAGGGUGCAAACGUUGUUCGGAAUUACUGGGCGUAAAGCGUGCGCAGGCGGUUGUGCAAGACAGAUGUGAAAUCCCCGGGCUUAACCUGGGAACUGCAUUUGUGACUGCACGGCUAGAGUGUGUCAGAGGGGGGUAGAAUUCCACGUGUAGCAGUGAAAUGCGUAGAUAUGUGGAGGAAUACCGAUGGCGAAGGCAGCCCCCUGGGAUAACACUGACGCUCAUGCACGAAAGCGUGGGGAGCAAACAGG
rnacentral:rRNA from 1 species